rnacentral:rRNA from 1 species
UACCAGCACCCCGAGUGGUCGGGACGUUUAUUGGGCCUAAAGCAUCCGUAGCCGGGUCUACAAGUCUUCCGUUAAAUCCAACUGCUUAACAGGUGGGCUGCGGAAGAUACUAUAGAGCUAGGAGGCGGGAGAGGCAAGCGGUACUCGAUGGGUAGGGGUAAAAUCCGUUGAUCCAUUGAAGACCACCAGUGGCGAAGGCGGCUUGCCAGAACGCGCUCGACGGUGAGGGAUGAAAGCUGGGGGAGCAAACCGG